ensembl:lncRNA
GUCAGAGAAACAGGAAGAAAGUCUUCCUCCAGGGGAGGGGCUAGACUGGAAAGUUCCACAGAAGGUGCAUGGUUUGGAUAGCUUUUCAUAACUGGAAGAUAACAAGACUGCGAGUUAAGAGAGAGAAGUGGCUUGCCGACAUUAUACAGCAAGGAAAGUGGCUCCACCAUGAACCACCCCUAGCCUGUGCUACUCCAGAGAAGAUGAAGAAACAACCUAGCAAGGUUAGGAAAUUUGCCCAAAGUCGCAUAACCAGGAUGUGAAGAAACUGGUCUUUCUGACUCCAAAGUUCAUACUUUUCCUCUUACGCCACAUCCCUUCUCUGGCACCAAUCACCUUGAAUUGCAAAUACUUCUUGUCACUGUCUUCGCCAUGGCCUGCGAGCCCUACAAGGCAGUUGGUGGCUCUGAUUUCGGGACUGUGACCCCACUGCCCAGUAAGGGGUUUGCUCCCAAGUGUCUGAUCCUAAAAGUGUAAUGGGAGUGAGUGACUUGUUCCAUUUGCAGGGACCCAGCCUGGAAAGGAAAAGCAGUAUGUUUGUCCUCUCCCUGUGCAGGGACAGGCCCACUAUCUCUCCUGGAAGGCGAUAAAGGGGCAGCUCUUGCCUCCUUGAGGACUUACAGAUGUUUCCUGAGGCCAUGAGGGCAUUUCUGCCUCUUGCCAGUUCAUGUGAGCGGCGGGGAAAGCCAGCCUCAUGGCUCUGCUGGUGUGAAUGUCAACAACCAACUCUAGCCAGCAACCUGGAAAUUUCUCUGCAACGUUAAGGCCAGUAGAGGCCCACGGAGGAUGGAGGCCCCAUCACCAGCUUGUCGGAUUCUUGCUGAAGACCUGAAAGAGCUCCACCGUAGAGACAGCAGGACCUGCUGGUUGAGACCUCCAGCUCUGCAGUCACCUCUAGCCUGGAAAACCAUCUCCAUCACUUAGUAAAUCUGUGGCCUUGGCAAGUUUCUCAACCUCUCUAAACCUCAAUUACUUCACUUUUAGCAGAGAGUAAUUCCUUCCUUUUCAAAAUUAUGUACAAAAAAAGAUAACGUAUAUAAAACCCUUACCACCAAGCACAGUGCUCGCAUACAACAAUAACACUAAUGAUGAUGGUAACAGUAAUAAUAACUUAGUAUCAAACUAUCCGUUGUAGAUUUUUGUUGUUUGCAGCUAAAAAUCCUGACUGAUAUGGUGAAUGUGAUUUGUUGGGGGAGCAGAGUGUUUUCUAGAAGGACAGGCCACUUGGACCCGAGAGGUGGUUUCCCCCGGUCCAGGACACGUGCUGAUGGAGAAAGCGAUCUGCCAUCUUUUGGGUGUGAGCAUGUGCUGCUCCUGCUCUGGACCCCAACUCCUGGAGUAACCUGAGAAGGGAGAGACCUGGUCAAGAUUCUGUCCCCAGUCUUCUUCUUUUUUUUCUUUCUUUUUAAAGAUUUAAUUUUUUUCCUUUUUCUUCCCAAAGCCCUCCAGUACACAGUUGCACAUUCUUAGUUGUGGGUCCCUCUAGUUGUGGCAUGUGGGACGCCGCCUCAGCGUGGCUCGAUGACUGGCACCAUGUCUGCACCUAGGAUCCGAACCGGUGAAACCCUGGGCUGCCGCAGCAAAGCGUGAGAACUUAACCACUCGGCCACGGGGCCAGCCCCAUCCCCACUCUUUUGAAUCCCAAGUAGCAAACAAUCAUUUCUUUGUCCCUACUACCUAGUAUAGGACGGAACAAUUAGCAGUUAUUAAAAUUAUAUGCUAUUUUUAAAAGAAAGUGAAUAAUCAUUUAUAUUGAACAAUAUUUAAAAGUUAGAAAGUAUUUUCACAAGGAUUACUUUAUUUCCAUUGUUUACGCAUGCAAAUACCCACAAAAAAAGAGAUGAGCUUUAUUUAAAUCCUUCUUGAGCUCUUCCAGUUUUCACCCACAGGCCUCCAGGGAAGAAACUGAAAGACUUGUGCAAUUUUGGAUUGUAAUCUUUUCACUGGACAUUCUUUCGUAUAUAUUUUCCGUGUCUCCAUGAGAUUUAUAUCUGUCAUUUUUAAGCGUGUCAUAGUAUUCCUUCAAAUGAAUGGGCCAAACGUUGUUCAUCUACCUGUCAUUUGGCACCUGAAAGUUCCAGGUUUCUGCUAUCAUAUGUAAAACUAUCAACCUUUAUUAAAACAAGCUUUUAAAACAAUUUUAGAAGUAUUUCUUUAGGGCUGAUUCCUAG